rnacentral:misc_RNA from 1 species
GAUGAAGAACGUAGUGAAAUGCGAUAAGUAGUGUGAAUUGCAGAAUUCAGUGAAUCAUCGAAUCUUUGAACGCACAUUGCGCCCCUUGGUAUCCCGAGGGGCAUGCCUGUUCGAGCGUCAUUUCGCCACUCAAGCCUGGCUUGGUGUUGGGCGACGUCCCCUUUGGGGACGCGCCUCGAAACGCUCGGCGGCGUGGCACCGGCUUUAAGCGUAGCAGAAUCUUUCGCUUUGGAAGUCGGGGCCCCGUCUGCCGGAAGACCUACUCGCAAGGUUGACCUCGGAUCAGGCAGGGAUACCCGCUGAACUUAAGCAUAUCAAUAAGCGGAGGA